GUGCCAGCAGCCGCGGUAAUACAGAGGGUGCAAGCGUUGUUCGGAAUUAUUGGGCGUAAAGCGCGUGUAGGCGGCAUGGCAAGUCGGGUGUGAAAGCCCUCAGCUUAACUGAGGAAGUGCGCCCGAAACUGCUGUGCUUGAGUGCUGGAGAGGGUCGCGGAAUUCCCCAAGUAGAGGUGAAAUUCGUAGAUAUGGGGAGGAACACCGGUGGCGAAGGCGGCGACCUGGACAGUAACUGACGCUGAGACGCGAAAGCGUGGGGAGCAAACAGGAUUAGAAACCCGAGUAGUCC
rnacentral:rRNA from 1 species